rnacentral:rRNA from 1 species
AGAGACCGGCGCACGGGUGCGUAACGCGUAUGCAAUCUACCUUUCACAGAGGGAUAGCCCAGAGAAAUUUGGAUUAAUACCUCAUAGUAUAGCAGUUUCGCAUGAAACCACUAUUAAAGUCACAACGGUGAAAGAUGAGCAUGCGUCCCAUUAGCUAGAUGGUAAGGUAACGGCUUACCAUGGCAACGAUGGGUAGGGGUCCUGAGAGGGAGAUCCCCCACACUGGUACUGAGACACGGACCAGACUCCUACGGGAGGCAGCAGUGAGGAAUAUUGGACAAUGGGCGCAAGCCUGAUCCAGCCAUGCCGCGUGCAGGAUGACGGUCCUAUGGAUUGUAAACUGCUUUUGUACAGGAAGAAACACUCCCUCGUGAGGGAGCUUGACGGUACUGUAAGAAUAAGGAUCGGCUAACUCCGUGCCAGCAGCCGCGGUAAUACGGAGGAUCCAAGCGUUAUCCGGAAUCAUUGGGUUUAAAGGGUCCGUAGGCGGUUUAGUAAGUCAGUGGUGAAAGCCCAUCGCUCAACGGUGGAACGGCCAUUGAUACUGCUAAACUUGAAUUAUUAGGAAGUAACUAGAAUAUGUAGUGUAGCGGUGAAAUGCUUAGAGAUUACAUGGAAUACCAAUUGCGAAGGCAGGUUACUACUAAUGGAUUGACGCUGAUGGACGAAAGCGUGGGUAGCGAACAGGAUUAGAUACCCUGGUAGUCCACGCCGUAAACGAUGGAUACUAGCUGUUGGGAGCAAUUUCAGUGGCUA